CUCAGAAACUUAAAGGAAGUUGACGGGGCCCGCACAAGCGGUGGAGUAUGUGGUUAAUUCGAUGCAACGCGAAGAACCUUACCUGGUCUUGACAUCCCGGAGACCCUUAGGAAACUAGGGGGUGCUUCCAUCUGGAAGAAUCUGGAGACAGGUGCUGCAUGGCUGUCGUCAGCUCGUGUCGUGAGAUGUUGGGUUAAGUCCCGCAACGAGCGCAACCCUUGCCUUUAGUUGCCAGCAGUUCGGCUGGGCACUCUAAAGGGACUGCCGGUGUUAAACCGGAGGAAGGUGGGGAUGACGUCAAGUCCUCAUGGCCUUUAUGACCAGGGCUACACACGUACUACAAUGGCCGAUACAAAGGGCAGCGACACUGCGAGGUGAAGCCAAUCCCGUAAAAUCGGUCUCAGUCCGGAUUGGAGUCUGCAACUCGACUCCAUGAAGUUGGAAUCGCUAGUAAUCGUGGAUCAGCAUGCCACGGUGAAUACGUUCCCGGGCCUU
rnacentral:rRNA from 1 species